UUUUUUUUUUAAUUUAUUUCUAAAUUUCCCCCCUUUUCCCUCUGUGUUGGUCAUUUGCUGUUGUUAUUUUUGACAUGUUUUAUAAUUUUCAGUCGGUUUUCAGAAUAUAGAUAGCAUACUGUACAUUCUCUAUAUGAUGUUCCCACGAAAGUGCUGUUUUUAUUUUUUAGUUAUAAAGCACUUCAGUGAAUGACUUUGAUCCAGUUGAGACUUAGUUUUAAGCUUUGUUAUACUUGACCUUUUUAAUUUGCUACUUACAGGAUGUGACCAUUAAUCUUAGAAAGUAGCUUUGCCCAAGUCCUGGACCUAGGUUUAGCACGCUCCCUCUGGAUUUAAUUCUAAUCUCUAACUCCUCAGUGCCAUUCAGCUGCUGAAAUCUCUGCUCAGCAUUCAAGCUUUCUGUUUGCUGUUUCCCACUACAUAUCUUGAAGGCUUGCCUUGUACAUGCACAAGUCAGAAAUUUACCCACAAUUUGAGGGAAAUUAGGAUGCAGAUUUGGGGACACUCUCUUAGCUUCCUGUCUUUUUCAAUAGUUUGCUCCUCAAAUCACAGCUCCUUUGGCGUCCUGAAACGCCAGACUUUGUCUCCUCUGACGUGUGAAACUCCUGCUUUCUUCUUGGGCUCUUUUCGCCUUCACCACAACUUGGAAAAUGCCCCCAGGAAAAUUCCGAGGUUCUCAGGGUGGCAGAUGAGGAAGAAGGUGGAGAACAGGAUAGAAAUGAAAUUUUGAGAAGGGAGUCCAGCCUAGAAGGGUAAAAUAUCAGGAAGGAAAUGGAACUCUCAUAAAGACGGCAAAAGGAAUAGAACGACCUUAAAUAAACUGCAAAUAUUGUUUUGAA
rnacentral:lncRNA from 1 species